rnacentral:rRNA from 1 species
CGCAUGGGAGCUUGAUUAAAGAUGGCCUCUACUUGUAAGCUAUCGCUUUGCGAUGGGUCUGCGUCUGAUUAGCUAGUUGGUGGGGUAACGGCCUACCAAGGCGACGAUCAGUAGCCGGUCUGAGAGGAUGAACGGCCACAUUGGAACUGAGACACGGUCCAGACUCCUACGGGAGGCAGCAGUGGGGAAUCUUCCGCAAUGGGCGAAAGCCUGACGGAGCAACGCCGCGUGAGUGAAGAAGGGUUUCGGCUCGUAAAGCUCUGUUGACGGGGACGAACGUGCGAGAUGCGAAUAGUUUCUUGCAAUGACGGUACCCGUCGAGGAAGCCACGGCUAACUACGUGCCAGCAGCCGCGGUAAUACGUAGGUGGCGAGCGUUGUCCGGAAUUAUUGGGCGUAAAGGGAGCGCAGGCGGGAAGGCAAGUCAGUCUUAAAAGUGCGGGGCUCAACCCCGUGAUGGGAUUGAAACUGUCUUUCUUGAGUGCAGGAGAGGAAAGCGGAAUUCCUAGUGUAGCGGUGAAAUGCGUAGAUAUUAGGAGGAACACCAGUGGCGAAGGCGGCUUUCUGGACUGUAACUGACG